AUAGCAGGUCGCCUUAUCGAUCUUGUGUAAACAAGGUAGGAAAGUCCGGACACCGUAGGAUAACAUAGCGGCUAACGGCCGUCGUUUUGUUUUCACUUUUGUGUAAACGAGAUAGGACAAGUGCAACAGAAAGUAUGUACAGGUAAUGCUGUAGUGAAACCAGGUAAACUCUAUGUGGUGAAAUGUCGCGUAAAUCAGAGCUCGAGCGCUAUCCGCGCGAUUCUGAAGGGUAGGCAGUUUGAGAUAAUAAGUAAUUGUUAUUCUAGAUAAAUGAUGAGGUAUUCAAGCAAUUGAAGAACAGAAUCCGGCUUAUAGACCUGCUAUUUUU
rnacentral:RNase_P_RNA from 1 species